rnacentral:misc_RNA from 1 species
UUUUUUCUUUUUUUUUUUUUGAAAGGAAAACUAAAACAUAAGGGGAUGCAUUCUGAAAACAAAAUCAUUCUGAAUGUGCAUGACCUCCUGUAAAUGGCAAUGCCUGGUGUGUAAAGGAAGAGGAACUAUGUCUUUGGUAACAAACGAGGAACAAACUUGGUUCUCUGGUUAAUUUACAAGGUCGAUCGUUGGUGCUUUAUAAGGCAGCAUGUUAUUGAAACAUUAGAUCCCUGUUUUAUCAUUUUCACUUUUUUUUUCUUUUGGCUUCCGAUUUUAGUUCGGCAGCAUUGUGGACAAAUUUUUUUUUACCUGUCAUUGACAAAAAGCCACAAAAUGCAAUUCUGGUGUGCUAUUACUUUACUGUGUCACUGAAAAUUUAUUGGAUGUUUGUCAUAUCUGUUUCCUUUCCUUCCACAUUUUCCACCUCAUGGUUAUGUGUAUUAUGGGUUUUACAGAAAAUGUUAUAAAAGAAACUUAUGA